UACAGAGGGGGCAAGCGUUGUUCGGAAUUACUGGGCGUAAAGGGCGCGUAGGCGGCCUGUUAAGUCGAACGUGAAAUCCCCGGGCUCAACCCGGGAACUGCGUCCGAUACUGGCAGGCUUGAAUUCGGGAGAGGGAUGCGGAAUUCCAGGUGUAGCGGUGAAAUGCGUAGAUAUCGUGAGGAAGACCAGUUGCGAAGGCGGAUCUCUGGGCAGUUCCUGACACUGAGGCACGAAGGCCAGGGGAGCAAACGGG
rnacentral:rRNA from 1 species